UUUUCUUCUUCUUCUCCCCA
rnacentral:miRNA from 1 species